GAUGAACGCUGGCGGCGUGCUUAACACAUGCAAGUCGAACGAUGAAGCCCAGCUUGCUGGGUGGAUUAGUGGCGAACGGGUGAGUAACACGUGAGUAACCUGCCCUUAACUCCGGGAUAAGCCUGGGAAACUGGGUCUAAUACCGGAUAGGAGCGCCUACCGCAUGGUGGGUGUUGGAAAGAUUUAUCGGUUUUGGAUGGACUCGCGGCCUAUCAGCUUGUUGGUGAGGUAAUGGCUCACCAAGGCGACGACGGGUAGCCGGCCUGAGAGGGUGACCGGCCACACUGGGACUGAGACACGGCCCAGACUCCUACGGGAGGCAGCAGUGGGGAAUAUUGCACAAUGGGCGAAAGCCUGAUGCAGCGACGCCGCGUGAGGGAUGACGGCCUUCGGGUUGUAAACCUCUUUCAGUAGGGAAGAAGCGAAAGUGACGGUACCUGCAGAAGAAGCACCGGCUAACUACGUG
rnacentral:rRNA from 1 species